rnacentral:rRNA from 1 species
UGGUGGAGUGAUUUGUCUGGUUAAUUCCGUUAACGAACGAGACCUCAGCCUGCUAAAUAGUCACGCCAAUCGUCUGACAGGUGAAGUGUCGGUUGUCCCGUGUCGCCUCCGGGUGUACGGGCGACCUGAUGCGGAUCCAUGACUGAUUGGUGGCACGCCCCUUUCGCGGGGGCUGACUUCUUAGAGGGACUAUUCUGUGUUUAACGAUUGGAAGUUUGAGGCAAUAACA